AUGAAACCCAUCAACUAAAGCAAAGCAGCAAAUACUAUACUUUUCUUUACUCACCCUUUGAUUUCCGUUUAACGAGCCUCUUUUAUUAGUUAACUAUGUUUCUUUGUUACAUUUAACAAAACUCCAUACAAUGCUUGAUUAGAAAGCCCAAGACAUUUUUUAUUGAUUGGAAUAAUAUAUAGCAGCUUUUGAGUUUUGAUGGUUUCCACCCUUUCGCAUAAUCUAUAAUGUA
rnacentral:misc_RNA from 1 species